UGUCUGUAGCCUUUUACCCACGCUGGGUUGGUGGUACCCUAGGGCCCACUGGGACUUGCAGAAAAACCAUUCUCCGGAGGAAGCUGAGGCCUGCUCCACAGCCAGCAGUUCCACGUGCAGUUUUCCUCUGAGGGGACUCAAGUGCUGUUGCCACAGUGAUGAUGACCACACCACGUCAUUAUCCGUCCAUCAACAGUAAGAGAAGCUUUGCAGUCAACGUCGUGUUUAGCAGAUGGAAUGGUUUCUAUUGGACACUAAGUACUGCUACAAAG